rnacentral:rRNA from 1 species
CCUACGGGAGGCAGCAGUAGGGAAUCUUCCGCAAUGGACGAAAGUCUGACGGAGCAACGCCGCGUGAACGAUGAAGGCCUUCGGGUCGUAAAGUUCUGUUGUUAGGGAAGAACAAGUGCUAGUUGAAUAAGCUGGCACCUUGACGGUACCUAAUCAGAAAGCCACGGCUAACUACGUGCCAGCAGCCGCGGUAAUACGUAGGUGGCAAGCGUUGUCCGGAAUUAUUGGGCGUAAAGCGCGCGCAGGCGGUUUCUUAAGUCUGAUGUGAAAGCCCCCGGCUCAACCGGGGAGGGUCAUUGGAAACUGGGAAACUUGAGUGCAGAAGAGGAAAGUGGAAUUCCAAGUGUAGCGGUGAAAUGCGUAGAGAUUUGGAGGAACACCAGUGGCGAAGGCGACUUUCUGGUCUGUAACUGACGCUGAGGCGCGAAAGCGUGGGGAGCAAACAGGAUUAGAUACCCUGGUAGUCCACGCUGUAAACGAUGAGUGCUAAGUGUUAGAGGGUUUCCGCCCUUUAGUGCUGAAGUUAACGCAUUAAGCNCNCCGCGUGGAGGUACGGUCGCAGANGAACGACAAGAAGUAGAGCGNGAGAGNGCCGAGACGACGACGAGGGAGGAGG